rnacentral:rRNA from 1 species
AAUUUGACUCAACGCGGGAAACCUCACCCGGCCCGGACACCGCGAGGAUUGACAGACUGAGAGCUCUUUCUCGAUUCGGUGGGUGGUGGUGCAUGGCCGUUCUUAGUUGGUGGAGCGAUCUGUCUGGUUAAUUCCGAUAACGAACGAGACCCCGCCCUGCUAACUAGCCCUCAGGCCCGGCUUCUGGCGGGCCUGACGGAAUGUUUGCUUCUUAGAGGGACUCGCAGGGUUUACCUGCAUGAAAAGGGGCGAUAA